CGAGGCUUUUCAGUUGCGUUUGGAUUUUUAAAAUUUAAAUCUAUUUGUGCCUAUGUUGUUGCAUGUGUGUGUGUGCGUGCGUGUGUGUGUGUGUGUGUGUGUGUGUGUGUGUGUGUGUGUGUGUGUGUACAACUUGCAGGAAUUUGAUCUGCUUCUUUUUCUCUGCCACACAAACUAAACUCAGGCUUGGUAGCAAUUGCUACCAUUUCAUCAGCCCUACAUUUAACAUAACUAAUAGUAUGGGGGAUAUUUGAGAACAGAGGCGAUAGCUCAAUUGGUAGUUCUGGUAACAUGCACAAAGCUAUGGGGGUGGCCCCUAGCACCAUAUAAACAGAACCUGUUAAUGCAGGUCUGUAAUCAAGCUCAAGGUCAUUUGGUUACACAGGCAUUUGAGGCUGAGGCAGAGUAUCCACUGUCCCUCCAUUUUAGUAUAGGCUCUGCCAUUUAAUAGCUGUGUAACUAUUUUUGCCCUUUAGAAACUGGAUGACCAUGUGGCCUGGACUUACAAUUGUUACCAUGGAGAUGAGAAUAUGAAAACCUAAAGCACAGAGCUGACAACAAGUGAAGCUUUCUGGCAUUGGUGCAGACUCUGAUCACAACAAGGUCCCUUGAAGCAGAGGAAUCUUGUCCUGGAUGAAUAUCAGAUAACAAAAUCUUACAGAAGAAUGUAGAGUUAAAAAUACAAUGACCAAGAGUGACAUGAAUGUGAAAUGACAAUUUCUACAUCCAAUCUAUUUACCUUCUCAUAUGGUCUUCAGGAUGUCCCCAAGUACACAACUUCUAGUACAAAUAGCACCAAGACUCAAUUUUCCUUCCUCUUCAAGUUUUGGAAGAUGCUAGGUUUGAGUGCUUCCUGGGGAGAAGAAGAAGAGGAGGAGGAGGAGGAGGAGGAGGAGGAGGAGGAGGAGGAGGAGGAGGAAGAGGAAGAAGGAAGAAAGAAGAGCGAGAGGGAGAGGGAGAAAGAGAAGAGAAGGAGAAGGAGAAGGAGAAGGAGAUGAUGACGACUUUGAUUUUCCCUGUAACUCAUGCUCUCCCCCAGUAUUAGAAUAGCACAGCAGCUGCUCUCUUGAAUUUGGCAAAUCCCAGGAGGGGUGGCUGUACUUGGUGAUUGUAGUUAGCUCAGCUGCUCUGGGGUUAGAGUUGCUUCCUGCUGUUUCUGUGUCCACAAAUAUUUGUUAAAUAAUAUGCUGAGGGAAGACAUAGAAAGGAUGUACAGCUGUGCUGGUAACCUCAUCCCACUAUGAUCGACCAUAUACCCCCAGAGUGCCUAAGAUCUUUCCUAUUAGCAGACCACUGCUUCUGAGCCUCGCAUGGUAUUUUCAUCCAUACACAGGCAUCUGAUUUUCUUUAACACCCCUGGCUUCUCCUUGGGAAGGAAAAGUGUUCCUCUAUUGUUGAGCUUGCGGAGAAAGUGGUUCACAUCUAGCUCAGUCUCCCUCUCCUUUAUCUCAGAUAGCACAGCUUCUGUUUGUUCUCUAAUGGCUUUAAAUUUUACUGUUUCAUAAAGAGGGUAAACCAUGUAGGGGAUUUGCAGCAUUCUCUGUAAUGAAUGUGCAGCUAGGGAAAUGUAAGGGAUUUGUGUCAUUUUGUUAUUAGGAAGUUCAUUUUUAUGCCUCACAACAUCACUUUCAUGGGUAAUAAAUAAGAUAUUUUGCUUUUUAUCUAUGUUCUU
rnacentral:lncRNA from 1 species